GUAAAGUUUAGAACUGGUCAUAAUGAGUUAGUACAAAAAGAUGCCUUGAGGGGUCUAUAUGGCAUAUCAUAGCCCCUAACUCCCAAAUCCUUUUCAGACUAAUUAUAAUAAUUAGAACUUAAAUAGGAAUAAAACCCCAGCUCUCAGGGGGAGGUGGGAGGAUGAGUGUGGCUCUAAUAGCGGACACCAUACUCGGAGAACUCAAUUAUAAGCAAGUAAUUUCCUUCUCUCCAAAAGGUAAUUGGCCUCUUCCACAUCUCUGUUCUCACAGAUGAUGGGGGAGAAUUGUGUGAAGAAGGUACUCUGCUGCCAAUAGGACCCCAGAUUGCUGGAUAAUGUGUGGAGAUGAAAACCAGCAAUGGCCUUAAUCUUUUCCUGGACUAAAAGGGAAAUGGCCUGAACAGUAUGAAGUGCCUGGUGCUUCACUGUAACAUGUUGCCAAGGAAAGAAACCUCAGGAGUAACUUGGGAACCUUCUCCCCCUUCAGUUCUUGCUCACAGCACCAGGCCACCUUCAGCACCUCGGCAGACAAUGCGACUUUCCAAAGAGCUAAAAAAUAGAUGACAAGAAACAAGAGCAGAGAGCAUCAUUUGUGGUGGCUGAAGCACCGAGUCCUUCUGUAGAAGGAGCAAGCCAGCCCCAGUUAGAAGAGCUCAGUUAUCAAGCCUUGAUGUCUGCUGGCACAGGUGGUCAUGAAGCUGUCAAAGGUGGAACUAAAUACAACCAGGUAGCGUGAUGGUGUUUUCUGACCCCUUCCCUUGGUAGCUAUUUGACCUUGUUCCUUCAAAGAGAAACAAACUAACAGGAGUAGUGGAUCAGAGGGAAUGAUUGUUGUUCCUNNNNNNNNNNNNNNNNNNNNNNNNNNNNNNNNNNNNNNNNNNNNNNNNNNUCCUGCUGAUGGUUUAGUGUUUGGAUAUGCGUCCUUCUGAGGGUGAGCUCUUCUCUCUGUCUGUAUUGCUUCAUGAGACAUAGCAGCUGGUUCAUGCUCUGACAAGAACACUAAUGGAAAAUCAAUGUUUGCCAAAUGGAGAAGGAGAAAACCACCAAAGCAGCAACAAAAGGAUAUUGAAGUUGAAGUCUUCAAACAAUGGAGAAUAAGCUAUCUUGCAAAAAGUAUUUGAGUUGUCUUUUUUAAAUGGCAGAGACUCAGAGGAGAAGAUUGCUUUCAGUUAAAGCACUGAGCUGGGAUGCGAUAACUGAUUUCCAGUGUUGCUGAAGAAGGGCUAUUUUGGGUAAUCAUUCAAAUGCAAGCAAACACUGGGAUUUUGAGCUCUAACCUCCACCCCUUACCUCUCCAAAUUGUUACUUUUUCAUGCCACAGAUCAAUGUGAUUUGUUGAGUGAUUAAAAAAAAAUAAUUUUC
rnacentral:lncRNA from 1 species